rnacentral:misc_RNA from 1 species
UCCUAAUUCCUUUUUGUGUGAGGGAAACAUGCCAAAGUUUGAUCUGUUAAUCCAAGCCCCAGCAAAAUUGGCACAUCCCAAUAAGAAUUAAAUUCAAAUUCAAAAAAAAAAAUUAUGUUACAAUUCCUAUUUUCCCUAACCCCGAUCUUCCUAGAGAACAUUUCAGACCAAACCAUAAUUUCCAGCGCGUGAACAAGCAGACAUGCUGAAUUCCUCUUGUUCGUCAUUCAAUGUUUUUGUCAUCCACCAUUUGCCCCCAAGAGCAUGAAAACAUGCCAAUUCAUUUGGGAGUACUCAAUACUUGGGAUUGCAGUGAGAAUACCUGAUUUCUAAAUGUCACAAGCGAGAAUCAGAAUUUGCAGUUUAGUUCUCGGUCAAUCCUACCCAAUAUCAGUAUAUUCAGGCAACAACGAACAAUCAUCUAGACCAGAGAUUAAACCAGGGACGUAAUCGUGAGGCAUGGCUUCAAAGCUCCCCACUUCCCCUGGAAGUUCCUCAUCCAAAUAAGAAAUAGAACAAGAGUCUCUAUCAUUUGUCCACCCAUCCUGAAUGACAGCUGGAGCAAGGUCAAACCUUAAAUUGGGGUCCCUGGGUGAAACUGUCAACAGUGGUUGCAAUGCUGGCUCUCUCUGCAAAUAAAUUAUGCAUCUCACCACGCUCUGAAGUUUUCUUCAAUUUUGAUCUAGGUGGCUUCGAGUCAGAGACAGACAGCUUAUGCUUUCCCAAGGACUGUGGCUUUGAAGCUGUCCGCAACUUGACAUCAUUUGCUGGGAAUGCAGAUGAUGCCCAACCCAGACUGCCUUCAAAACAAGCUCUCGCUGCAUCCUUGAAUCGACUCUCUGCCACAUUUGUGAAAGCUUUAAGAUUAUGUUCUCCAACAUCCUUGUUUCUGAAUCUUAGUGGGUCUGUGAUGGGUAUCAUCAAAUUUAUGACAGGUGGAAAUGGAAUCAAUGAAUCACCUUCCUCCUUUUCAAAUUCCAGCGUUACUUCCAACUGUUCAGAAAUGCAAGGAGCAUCUUCAAUUCGGUUAGAAAUGGAGACUGUGUCAUCCAGGGGUCUGCUGUUGAAUUCGUGGAGUGCAGCUGCCAACAACUUGCAACUCUGAGCUGAAGUAGUGAAUUUCAUUCUUUUUGCAGGUUCUUUCACAGAAUUCCAGGAUAUCUGAUUGAAAGAGCUGAAAAACUUUCCACCAAAAUAGAGGCCAUUUCUAGAUGAUGAAAGGUUUUGUUGGCGGUCAACGCGUGAUGUCAUCCUCCAUACAGAAGAAAGCAGAGCAGUGAAGUGCCUCUGGAGAAGUAAUUCAUGAUCAGGCUGCUCUGCAGCAACAUUUAAGAGCAUCUGAAUAUUAUCCUCAGUUACUUUGAGGAGGGCCUUUCCAGACCCUGCACUGCUUGUCUUUUCACUAAAAUGAUUUUCAGGGGCAGACAAGACAUGUCU